rnacentral:misc_RNA from 1 species
AAUUAACUCAAACGCAUUGAUAAUAGAAGGAGAUUCUGGGCUGUUUUCAACGUCAGAUGGCUCAUCAGGCGUUGAGAUGGCAUCAUCCUGAUCAGUAAGUGAACCCUCCUCAUCAUCGUCGUCAUAACCAGGAGAAGCAGGAUGGUAGUCAGUCUUGAACCACUCAUUCUCUUUAAUUCCUGCCAUGGUAAUCCGAGUAUUGGGAUUGGGGUCAAGAGUUCUCCUUAUCAAAUUUCUGGCACCUGCUGAUAACCAUUUGGGUAUCUGAAAAUCCCCCCUCAAAGUCUUUUUAUAAAGUAAAGCCAGAUUGGUCUCGUCAAAAGGAAGAAAAGCCG